GGGACAGAGCUUAAAGGGUAGACGGGAUAAAAAAAAUUAAAAUGGCAGGAUAUAAGAAGGAGAACUGACUACAGGCUGCACUGAGAGCUCAUAUCUUCACUGUGUUAAAGAAAGGAUGGCACCACAAGGAAGCAGACAGAAGGACGGAAAAAAGACAAGAUACAGAGGCAUAAACAAAGCAAAGAAAGGAGAGCACUGCAGGUAUAGGACGGAAUGAAGAAUUAAUCAAUGGAAGGAGGAAAGAAUGAAAAGAGCUCUAGAGGAAUAUCAGAAGCAAGUGGAGAAUGGACAGAAUCCAAACCUCAGACUUUUGGCUAGAGCUUGGAACAUCCCUAAAUCUACUCUCCAGAGACUUGUGAAGGGACUCAUCAGAGGUUUUCAUCAUGCAUCAGGGAAAAAUCCUCUACUUUCUUCAGAAAGUAGGGAAGGACGUUGCUGAUCUUAUCAAGGUUCUUGCAGCGAGAGGCUUUCCGAUGUCACGCACAGACAUACAAAACAUCACCUUUCAGUAUGUGAAGGCCAACGGUGUGAAAGGUUUCUCAGAGAAAAAACAAAAAGCAGGCUAUUAUUGGUUUUGAAGGCUUUCUGAGAAGAAACCAACAUCUGAGUAUUUGUACCCUAGAAGCUGUUGUUGCUGAAAGUUCUGGAAUUUGUCCUACACUGGGUUCUGAAUGGUUCAGAAAUUAUGAACAACUUCUCAGAGAACUCAAGAUCAUUGACGUUUCAUCACACAUCUGGACUUUCAAGGAAUUUGAAUUAAAAGACUUCUGCGGCUCUUCCGUUGGAGCCCUGGAUGUAUAACAAGGAGAAACCGCAACAGUCCUAUCUGGAUUGAAUGCUGCUGGAAGAUGCACUCUUUCUCUGCACUUCUUUUCUUUGUUCUCAUCAGCAUGGGAGAAGACCGUCAGCGUUGAUUACGUUCAGUCAGCCGCAGGGAUGUUUCCUGUUAACAUGGACAUGAUUCCCAGUGAUGCUCUCACAAACACAGAGAGUGAGAUGGAUAAAUGUGAGGAGACCAGGACCACACCACUACAGAGUUUACCCUAGGCACAUGAGAUGGAUAUUGUAAAAGAGACCAGCUUUUUGACCACCAGGCCUGGUGACUACAGUGAGCCUCCCUCAACUACUGAGUUUUGUCAGGAUAAAGGAAGGAAUCAAUCCAUAAUUUCAGAUCAUAAAUACAAUUGACUUGGGAAUAUCCAGGGAUUCACCAAGAGGAGCUGGAAUCUGUGUCCAGGAAUAGUGUUGUCUGGGCUGACCUUCUAAACCUUCUCACCCUGACCACCACUGGAAACGUGGAAGCAAAAUGACUGAAUGAAUGAAUACAUUCUGUGAAUAAAGUGGGAAAAAGAACUGUGGUGGAUGUAGAACCGAGAUAAACGUGAGUGUCAUCUGCAUAACAGUGGAUGCUAAGGGCAUUUUCCACCAGUGAUCUGGCCAAUAGGAAUCUGACAUACAGAGAAAGGGAGGUGACCAAGGAUUGAACCUUGAGGGACACCGUGUAUAACAGGGGCAAAAGAGCAUGUAUGUUUACCAAUGGUUAUAUAGUACUAUCUAUCUGAGAGGUAAGAUGCAAAUCAAAGCUGAGCCAUGCCACAAAUAGCGAGAGGCAUAAGAGCAGAAUUCUAUGGAAAACCAUGUCAAAAGCUGCACUGAGAUCUAACAAAAUAAGAUUGAUGAUGGCACCAACAUCAGUAAAAGGGACUAGAUAAUUAGUGAGUAAUUUUCAUCAUCGAUUUUCAUUGAAGAAGGGUCCAAAAGUCUGAGACCACUAGUGAAAAUGCUUUUAUUUUACAUUGAAUACCAGCAUUUUUAUUAGAAAUUAUAUUAUCAGCAAUAACUUUUCUACUGAAAAGUAGAAUCUUGUAAAUAUUUACAUGAAUAUCAGAAUUUCUUAGUGUUUGGUAUGUCCCGUUUUUGCUUUAAUCACAGUGUGUACUCACGCUGGCAUGGACUCCACAAGUGUUUCCAAAGUUUCUGCAAAACCUGUCUGAACACAUGCUUGAAUGGA
ensembl:lncRNA